AUUGAACGCUGGCGGCAGGCCUAACACAUGCAAGUCGAGCGGACGAAGGGAGCUUGCUCCUGGCUUCAGCGGCGGACGGGUGAGUAAUGCCUAGGAAUCUGCCUGGUAGUGGGGGAUAACGUCCGGAAACGGGCGCUAAUACCGCAUACGUCCUGAGGGAGAAAGUGGGGGAUCUUCGGACCUCACGCUAUCAGAUGAGCCUAGGUCGGAUUAGCUAGUUGGUGGGGUAAAGGCCUACCAAGGCGACGAUCCGUAACUGGUCUGAGAGGAUGAUCAGUCACACUGGAACUGAGACACGGUCCAGACUCCUACGGGAGGCAGCAGUGGGGAAUAUUGGACAAUGGGCGAAAGCCUGAUCCAGCCAUGCCGCGUGUGUGAAGAAGGUCUUCGGAUUGUAAAGCACUUUAAGUUGGGAGGAAGGGCAGUAAGUUAAUACCUUGCUGUUUUGACGUUACCAACAGAAUAAGCACCGGCUAACUUCGUG
rnacentral:rRNA from 1 species